rnacentral:rRNA from 1 species
GACGAACGCUGGCGGCGUGCCUAACACAUGCAAGUCAAAGGAAAGCGGCUUCGGCCGGGAGUACUUGGCGCAAGGGUGAGUAAUGUAUAGGUAAUCUGCCCUUUGGACUGGCAUAACUCCGAGAAAUCGGGGACAAUACCAGAUGAUGCAGCGGAACCGCAUGGUUAUGUUGUUAAAGAUUUAUCGCCAAAGGAUGAACCUAUAUCCCAUCAGGUAGUUGGUAAGGUAACGGCUUACCAAGCCUACGACGGGUAGCUGGUCUGAGAGGAUGAUCAGCCACAUUGGAACUGAGACACGGUCCAGACUCCUACGGGAGGCAG